AUCAUUAUUGAAAACUUUGGAGAUGGUACUGCUGCUGGCUUUUUAUAAGUAUGUGCACGUACUAUUUCUAAUCUAUUCAUCCCCCUGUGCAUCUAUUGUAGGAGCUUUUUAAAGGGUUAACUUGUCUUGUACAAAGUUCACUUGGCAAAGGGCUUUCUAUGUUUUCAUAAACUCUGUUGUAUGUUCUAGAAUGUUAUUUUAUUGGGACUUUAUUGGCCCUUUAAAUUUGUACAACUUUUAGCAACGGAUCUCUUGGCUCUCCCAUCGAUGAAGAACGCAGCGAAAUGCGAUAAGUAAUGUGAAUUGCAGAAUUCAGUGAAUCAUCGAAUCUUUGAACGCACCUUGCGCCCUCUGGUAUUCCGGAGGGCAUGCCUGUUUGAGUGUCAUUAAAUUCUCAACUUCAAAAGCUUUGUUAUGAGCUUUAUUGUAGUUUGGAUGUGGGGGGUUUUGCUGGCAUCUUAGAUGAUCGGCUCUCCUUAAAUUUAUUAGUGAAAAUCUCUUUGUUGGAGGUAAUCUAUAGUGUGAUAAUUAUCUUACGCUUUGGAUAGUCCAAUGUUUCCAUUGAGAUAAGCUCAGUUUUUAAAUGCUGGCUUUGUUAGUAUUGCAACUAGUUGCUUUACUUGGAAUCUCAGAGGGAAAAGGGAAGUUUUGCUUUCUACUGUCCUAUUAUUAUGGACUAUUUUAUUGAUUAUUUGACCNCNAAUCAGGUAGGACUACCCGCUGAACUUAAGCAUAUCAAUAAGCGGA
rnacentral:rRNA from 1 species